UACGGAGGGUGCGAGCGUUGUCCGGAAUCACUGGGCGUAAAGGGCGCGUAGGCGGCGCGGGGAGUCAACGGUGAAAGCUCGGCGCUCAACGCCGAGUCGGCCGUCGAUACUCCCGUGCUUGAGCACUGUAGAGGCAGGUGGAAUUCCGGGUGUAGCGGUGGAAUGCGUAGAGAUCAGGCAGAACACCUGGGGCGAAGGCGGCCAGCUGGGCCGUCCCUGACGCUGAGGCGCGAAGGCGUGGGGAGCGAACGGG
rnacentral:rRNA from 1 species